rnacentral:lncRNA from 1 species
GUGUGAAUCCAAUUUAUGCAAAUCAUUGCUGGAACUAUAGAGUUGAAGAGAGGUGACUUCAUAUUGUUAAGCACUGGUGGAGAGUCCAUCCAAGCUAAAGCUGAAGAAACCUAUUUGUCAUUGUUGCCAUUUUGGCAAGGUUAUGAAACUAAUAGCCUAUUAUUAUAUGCCUAAAUUUAUCAAAAACAUAUUUCAAUUCUUUUUUUAUUAUAACAUGGUUUUGAAAUUAAUGUAAAGGACAAAGAUUGCUCUCCUUCUAGUAAAUUUUAUGGCAAAUUUUGUGGCUAUGGAUUUUAUAAUAAUAGUUUUAUAUUUCUAUCACUCAAUGAUAUUAUUUUUUAUAUUAAUAAAAAUAAAAAAAUAUAAAUAUCAUAUAUUUUUUGCAUUGCCAACUUGAUCAUUUUAAUGAGUCAAAGAUAAACAAGUAAUACAAAAUUUUUUUUUUGAUUUGUAUGAUUUUGAAUCAUAUAAAAUUUAUAAAUUUUGUCUGAUGGAUAAAAUGAUCAAGAUCUCAUUUACUGGACAUGGGAGAAGACGAACAAGCUAUUAGGCCUUAUACAUAUGGAUGUUUGAAGGUUAAUAAUAACUCAAGUCAGAGAUGGACACCUCAUAUGAGAUAUGGUAUAGUUCAUAAUAUGCUUCAAAGACCUUCCAAACUCAUCUUAUACUAUAAUAAAAAAAAAUAUUUACAAUGCAAAAAAAGUAUCGCAAAUACUAAAUUUUUAUCACAAAUAAUUAUUUACGAUGAAAAUUUCAUCACUAAUAAUUAGUCGCUAAAAAUGG